rnacentral:rRNA from 1 species
AUUGAACGCUAGCGGGAUGCUUUACACAUGCAAGUCGAACGAGUGGCGGACGGGUGAGUAAUAUAUCGGAACGUGCCCAGUAGCGGGGGAUAACUACUGGAAAGGGUGGCUAAUACCGCAUACCAUCGGCUCGGCCGAUAUCGGAUUAGCUAGUUGGUGGGGUAAAGGCUCACCAAGGCAACGAUCCGUAGCUGGUUUGAGAGGAGGACCAGCCACACUGGAACUGAGACACGGGCCAGACUCCUACGGGAGGCAGCAGUGGGGAAUUUUGGACAAUGGGGGAAACCCGGAUCCAGCCAUCCGGCGUGUAUGAGAAGGCCUUCGGGUUGUAAAGUACUUUUAGCAGGGAAGCGGUACCUGCAGAAUAAGCACCGGCUAACUCCGUGCCAGCAGCCGCGGUAAUAC